GGAGUGGGGACCUGAAGGUUAUCAGUUAUGGGCAUUAUCAAGAAAGUAUCGAUGUAGUUAUUUUUCAGUUUGUGAAAAGUGCCUUAACUGUUAAUGCUGGAAUGGAUUCAGUUACUGUUCAUACGAAAAUUCGGCCAAAAGAUGUACCUGGAACACUUUUAAAUAUGGCUCUUUUAAAUCUCGGCAGCUCGAAUUCUAACUUAAGAACAACUGCAUAUAACUUACUCUGCGCCCUCACUGGAACUUUUGAUUUAAAAAUCGAUGGACAACUCUGAGAAACAUCUGGAUUAUGCAUUCCUUCAAAUAACACUAUUUUCAUCAAGCAAAUCGCUGAAAAGCUUGCUUAAAAUGCAUCCCAUUUAACUCUGGAAUUUCUUUAAGAAUGUAUUCAAGGAUUUCGAUCUUCAACGAUUGAGCUAAAACAUUUGUGUUUGGAGUAUAUAACUCCAUGUCUUCCCUAUUUAACAAGAGGAGUGUUACUGGUGGUUUAGGCUCAGCACAGUCCGAAAUAAUGGCCGACACUGCCCUAGCAUUAGCCUCAUCUAACGUUCAACUAGUUGCAUUAAAAGUUAUUAGCCGAUUAUGUAGAGUUAUUGAAAAAACGUGUACUUCCUGAACUCCUACACUAGAGCAACAUUUGAUGUGGGAAGAUCUAGCUAUCUCAACUCGCUAUCUUUUGAUGCUAGGUUUUAAUAAUUCACUUGAUGGAUCUUGGAAAAGCGAGUGUCGCAAGACCAUUUAGAAGAUGAUGUUAUAAUUGAACGCACCCGUGUUCGUUACAGUCUCCAACAUACUCUAAGCAUUCUCCUACGCGUUAUUCCUACAUAUGAAAGAAUAAUAAUAUUUAAUCUAGAAACAGAAAGGGUCGCCGCGUGUUAUGAUGUCGAACAAUUCACGUCACCGGGAGGUUUGAGUGAGAAAGUUCCAUUGAAAGAAGAUUAUUUUCGAAGAAGUAAACGAGAACUGUAAAGGCAGCCAAGUUAACUUACUAAAAGGUUUAUUUAUACUUAUAAUUUUAUUUAUACUUACAAUUUUGUUAUUAUUAUUUAUACUUUAUAUUUAAUCUUCUGAUUCUUGUGAAUUUAAUUAAAAUGUAUUGCGUGUGUGUUUCUUACUUUACCCCUAAAACAUGAAAUAAGGUACUGAGAAAAGAGUAUCUUUAAACUAAAUUACUCUUGAAAUAUAAUAAUUUAACAGCAUCUUAAUUUUAUCGAAGUAAUAGUUAAAUUGCUAUUGGAGCAAAAACAAAAUC